AAGAAAACAAAACAGUAAGCUUCACAAGACAUUAAAUACUGAUGGACUCAUGUGGAUUACUUGUGAAUUAUUUUGAUGUUUUUAUCAGCUGUUUGAACUCCUAUACUGAAGGCACCCAUUCACUGCAAAGGAUGAGCAUAAUUUCUCCAAAUCUGUUCUGAUGAAGAAAUGAACUCAUCUACAUCUUAUAUGGCCUGAAGUUGCAUGCUGGACUAAAGGAAGCAACACAAUCAAUAAUCUCCACAAGUGCAGGUCAUUGAGGGCACUGAGCGUAUCCUCCAGACGUGGCAUGACUUUCAAAGGACUGGCAUGCCUGCCACCUGAAGGUCGCAGGUUCACUUUUCCUGGAACAAAGCAAAUGAAAAGGAGAAGAUCAGAGACUGUCGAUCAUGGCGUGAAGUCCUUGUUUAUGUCUCAACAAAACUGACAGCAGAGCAUCACUCCAAACUUGAACCUAGCUGUUCAUGGGACGUAGGCAAAUAUGCUCUGCUCUGCCAAAGUCAGGAAUCAAGAGAUCCAUCCAUAACACCUUUUGGCUGUAAUGUUAAAGCCUCCCAGCUUGAGAGAAAUGGCUAGUUAGUAGUGUUGGUCCAAGGCCAAACAUAUCUCUGGACAAGACAGCUGUAUCAGGCUGAAACUUGGAUUUUCAGAGUCAGUAAAUGUGUAUUUUUUACCCUGAAAAUGAAGAGUUAAUUGUAUCUGUAAGGUGGUGACGUGCUGCCACAUAUUCUUAACUGUAGUUCAACGAUACACUUUAAAAAAUAAAGGUUCCCAGGUGAGUCUUUGCAGUCUGGAGUUACUAUACAGUUCUUUGGAGGUUAGAAAAGUUAUAGGUUUUUCAGCUCAACAUAAUGGUUUCUGGAGUCUUAAAAGCACCAGUAGUGCCUUCGCUGAUGUUUUUCUUACAAACUAGAGAAUACCCUAAAAUAAUUUUUGGGGGAAAAAAAAGGCGUAAAUCCCUUUUGAUUGUCACUGGAAAUAUAUUUUUGAAGGAAAGAAACAAAAUUUACUCACCCUCAGGCCAAGAUGUAGAUAUGUAUGUUUCUUCAUCAUUACCAAUUUGGAGAAAUUUAGCAUUACAACUCUUGCUCACCUAUGGAUCCUUUGCAGCGAAUGGGUGCAGUCAGAAUGAAAAACCAAACAGCUAAUAAAAAAUGUCACAAUAAUUUAUCUGAACUUUUCUAACUUUAACCUUAGUUUAUCUUUGAUGGUGAACUAUUCCUUUAAUAGUGAUGGUUGACAUUUUUUGAUUAGGGUUAGGGUUAGGGGGUUGCCAAUAUUGUCAAUGGGAAUGUCAUUUUGUGUGAGUUUUCCCUCAUGCUCUGUGUGACUGACAUUUUUGCCUUUUAUUGGACAACUGAGUCUAUAAAUCCAAAUCCAUAUUAUGGCUUUUUUUCUGUUUAGAUAUAAUCAUUUGCCACAGUAUUGAAGGGAUUACCUAUUUUCACCUUUGAACAACAUUGUGUUCUCAUCAAAAACUCACCUAAAGGCAGAAGGUCUUUUUGUCUGAGACUGGAUUAUGUCGAGAGUGACAUCAACAGUUAAGGGAUUAAAUGCGGCUUCAGUUUGCCCUUUGCUUCUUGGCAUCCCAGUGUCCUCCUGCAGAAUAACACUGAAGGCUUGUAUUAAAUUUAAAUGGUUUGGUCUGGAAGUCAGUAUUAUGUCAUACGAAGUGCUUUUUGCGCUCUUCUAUUUCUGUAAAACCAAAACAACAUAAAAAU
ensembl:lncRNA